UCCACUCCCCCCAAAAAUAAUUUCUACCUCAAGAUUCAUACUUGGUGUUCAGCAAAGCAAGAGUCGCUACAGAACCCAUUUUGUUUAAAGGACACGGACCAUGUUCUCAAAUAUAAUGUGUCAGAAAAUGCUGCUAGCGUUCACAUCGUUCUUAGUAAUUACCUGGAUGAUAUUUGUCAUUUCUCAAAAUUCUGCAAAGCUUUGGACCACUCUAAACACAGCCAUAUGUUUCCAUCCCUGGAACACAUCCAUGAAGUCCUCCUGUCCUGAAAUUCCAAUGAGCCAGUCAAAGUUACUACCAGUGAUUAAGCUAGAAGAGGAGAUCCCUAAAAUGACAGGCCACCAACAAGACAAGUCACCAACAGAGACAGAGCUGAAAGUCAGGGAGAUCCUGGAGAAGCUGGAUCGGCAGAUACCUCCCAGACCCUUCACCCACCUCAACUACACCACAAGCGCCACACACAGCACGGCCACCAUCCUCAACCCUCAAGAUACAUACUGUGUGGGGGACCUGCUGGACAUCCUAGUAGAGGCUAGAGACCACCUAGGAAACAGGAAGGGGUAUGGUGGGGACUUCCUGAGGGCCAGGAUGUUCUCCCCAGCCCUGAAGGCAGGAGCUUCUGGAAAGGUGACAGACUUCAACAAUGGCACCUACCUCGUCAGCUUCAUUCUGUUCUGGGAGGGCCCGGUCUCACUGUCUAUUCUGCUCGUGCACCCCAGUGAAGGGGUGUCAGCUCUCUGGAGAGCAAGGAACGAAGGCUACGGCAGAAUUGCUUUCAAAGGUGCUUUUGUUAAUGGCACGUCCCAGGUCACAGCUGAAUGUGGCCUGAUACUAGAGUCAAGCAGUGAGCUAUGCAAAUACCUGUACCGUGGUGGUGAGGAAGUCUUCUACUGCAUGAAACCUCAACACAUUCCCUGUGAGGCCCUGACCCAUGUGUGUACCAGGCAGCAAGGUGUUUCUUAUCUCACUGCCAAAGAAAAAGACCUUUUUCAGAAGUGAGUAUAUUUUCAGUACAAUGAGAGAUCUUUGUACCCGGCAGAGCUUCACUGCCCAUCUCAGUACUGAACAAGACCCUCAGGUGCUUCCUCCACUAAAGAUUCUGGUAAGACCUGUGUUGUCUUUACUGGGCCCCCUAUCCAUACCACUUUGCUUUCCUAUUGACGUACUCAAUAAAAGGGGCUGCCCGAUAAAAAGGAACCAAAUAAAGUAUCUGCCUCUGCUCCUCCUGACAACCAA
rnacentral:lncRNA from 1 species